rnacentral:tRNA from 1 species
GCCUGGGUGGCUCAGUCGGUUGAGCGUCCGACUUCGGCUCCGGUCAUGAUCUCGCGGUCUGUGAGUUCGAGCCCCGCGUCAGGCU